GAUGAACGCUAGCGACAGGCUUAACACAUGCAAGUCGAGGGGCAGCGAGGGAGUGCUUGCACUUCUGUCGGCGACCGGCGCACGGGUGAGUAACACGUAUGCAACCUGCCCUUGUCAGGGGGAUAAGCGAGGGAAACCUCGUCUAAUACCGCAUAUAUGAUUUAGAGGCAUCUUUUAAUCAGGAAAGAAUUUAUCGGACAAGGAUGGGCAUGCGGGACAUUAGGUAGUUGGGGGUGUAACGGACCACCAAGCCGACGAUGUCUAGGGGUUCUGAGAGGAAGGUCCCCCANACUGGUACUGAGACACGGACCAGACUCCUACGGGAGGCAGCAGUGAGGAAUAUUGGACAAUGGGGGAAACCCUGAUCCAGCGACGCGCGUGAGUGAAGAAGUAUUUCCGGUAUGUAAAGCUC
rnacentral:rRNA from 1 species